AACGAACGCUGGCGGCAGGCUUAACACAUGCAAGUCGAGCGCCCCGCAAGGGGAGCGGCAGACGGGUGAGUAACGCGUGGGAAUCUACCCAUCUCUACGGAAUAACGCAUGGAAACGUGUGCUAAUACCGCAUACGUCCUUCGGGAGAAAGAUUUAUCGGAGAUGGAUGAGCCCGCGUUGGAUUAGCUAGUUGGUGGGGUAAAGGCCUACCAAGGCGACGAUCCAUAGCUGGUCUGAGAGGAUGAUCAGCCACACUGGGACUGAGACACGGCCCAGACUCCUACGGGAGGCAGCAGUGGGGAAUAUUCGACAAUGGGCGCAAACCUGAUCCAGCCAUGCCGCGUGAGUGAUGAAGGCCCUAGGGUUGUAAAGCUCUUUCACCGGUGAAGAUAAUGACGGUAACCGGAGAAGAAGCCCCGGCUAACUUCGUGCCAGCCGCCGCCGUAACAC
rnacentral:rRNA from 1 species